AAAGUCCCCUACUAUUAUUGUGUUACUUUCUAUUUCUCCUUUUAUGUCUGUUAAUAAUUGCUUUAUAUAUUUAGGUGCUCCUAUGUACCCCUGAACUUUCCAUUGACAUGGGCUGAAAGAAAUUCUGCAUGUGGCUGUGGGUGGAAACCUGGACCUGCUAAGACGGCAGAAGAAAGAUGGUGAAUCUGGGAAUAGGAGGCACUUUGAAGCACAUCAUUUGGAUCACCAUAUUGUCGGAAAUGCAGAAUUGUUGGAAAGCAGAUUACAAGAGGAGAAUUCACCCAGCAUGUUUAAGUGGCCUUAUGGAGAGGCCAGGGGACAAGGAACUGAGAGAGGUCUCCAGCCAACAGCCAGCAAGCAACUGAGGUCCAACAACUUGUGAGUAGCUAAGUCCUUCUAACAACCACGUGGAUGAGCUUGGAAGCAGACUGUCAAGCCUUCGGAUGAGACCACAGCCCUGGACAACAACUUGACUGAAACCUGUGAGAGACCUUGAGGCAGAGGUGCUCAGCUACACUGUGACAAAACUCCUGAUCCACAGAUACUGUGAGAUAAUAAAUGUUUCUGACAUACAAAAGCCUCUAAGUUUUGGGGUCAUUGUUACAUAACUACAUGUCCAGUGUGGGUUGGGAAGGGGUGCUUGCAGGCACCCAGGCUGGUAAAGGCUCUAUCUCAACACCUGUUUCCAUGGUCACCAUAACAGACGAGGAAUUGCAUGCUGGUACUUAAAACUCCAACUCAAAAGUGACACACACCACUGUUACUUGUGUUUCAUUGGCCAAAUGAAGUCACAUAGUCACACCUAACUUCAAAGGGGGUGGAAGGAAAAGUAAUGGAAUAUGUGUGAACAGCACUGAUGAUUCCCAUAAUAAAAUCUGCCCUGAAGGAUUGUUGUGGGGACAAUGCAUUAAACUGCUGUCUCAGGAUGCUUGCAGCUACACGUGAGAGGAAACACCAUAUGAAUGUAUACAAUAAAGGCUUAAACAACAAAGGGAAUUUGUUGGCUCAUAUUUUUUGGCUACAGGAUGGUCUCAGGUAAGACUGGAUCCAGGGACUCAGUGAUGCAUAGGACUGGGUUCUUUCUGUCUCUCUUUUCUGUGUUUUGAGAUAUAAGCUUCAUCCUAAGCCUUGCUCCCCUCAGAGCCCCAGGGUGGCUGCCAGAAGCCCCUCGGGCUGAGGCAGGGAAGAGAGUUCCCAGAAGUCUUCAGUUUGCCUAUGA